AGCGAACGCUGGCGGCAGGCCUAACACAUGCAAGUCGAACGGACCCUUCGGGGUUAGUGGCGGACGGGUGAGUAACACGUGGGAACGUGCCUUUAGGUUCGGAAUAGCUCCUGGAAACGGGUGGUAAUGCCGAAUGUGCCCUUCGGGGGAAAGAUUUAUCGCCUUUAGAGCGGCCCGCGUCUGUUUAGCUAGUUGGUGAGGUAACGGCUCACCAAGGCGACGAUCAGUAGCUGGGCUGAGAGGAUGACCAGCCACACUGGGACUGAGACACGGCCCAGACUCCUACGGGAGGCAGCAGUGGGGAAUCUUGCGCAAUGGGCGAAAGCCUGACGCAGCCAUGCCGCGUGAAUGAUGAAGGUCUUAGGAUUGUAAAAUUCUUUCACCGGGGACGAUAAUGACGGUACCCGGAGAAGAAGCCCCGGCUAACUUCGUG
rnacentral:rRNA from 1 species